GAGGCUCAAUCUGCUAAUUCUCAGAUGGGUGUGCUAAAUAACAGGAGGGAGAGUGCGGGAAGAGGCAGGACCAAACUGAGAAAAGCUCGCCAGUUCCAGAACUCAGCACAACAAUCAAGGGAUAAAGCAGUAAUUAGGCCUGAUUAUCAUGCAAGGCAGCCCGAGUUAAAUUGGAAUGUAGCCGGAGAGACGAAAGGCUGGAUGGAGAGUUUGCUAUGCAGGAGACACGCUUUGAUGUCUGCAGGGAAGGUUGUGUUUUAUGCAGCCCUCCAACCAACCAAAAAAAUGUUGCAGGAGCAAUAUGAAACCUUCUAAAAUGCAGCAGACGGGAAGCUGGAGUGGAGAGCAAGGGGCUGGGUCCAAAUUCCCCUCCUGAAUUUACCGCUCCAGCCUCUUGGAUAUGUCAGAAGACAGGAAAAGAGAAAAGGAGCGCACGCUCCAGCUAUUAACUCGCCGUCCUGGGCUUGCACAUUAUUACGACAAGGGAGAAUGUGUUGAAGGUUGAGGCAGCCUUUUUACCUGCUGUGGGGAGAAAGCAGAGGAAAUGGAGGUAAAUGACUCUGUGUGUCCCGGAGAGGCCUGGAACUCUGCUGACAGAUGCAGACGGAGUCAUCUGAGGCUGCCAGCUACCAGAGCUUUUGACCAACUGAUGUACGAAGAAGAAAAUGAGCCAAGAAAGGUGUUCACCGGAGGAAGUGGGAUGUGCAAUCUUGAUUUUGCGUGAAGACAGUCCAUGAAAAUACAAAAUGCAGAGACUAAAUGCAAUUUCUUUUUCUCAGAGAUUUCCAAAAUAAGAUCCUCUCACCGCUAUGGUAUACCAUCCAGACAGGCAGUUCAGUUAUUUCUUUUCAAAAGGGAUGAAGGAAGUUGCUGAUCACGUUAUCUUGAAGGAACCAAAAGAGCGUGGAUUCCAUAUCACACACAUUGCUUCUUCGGUUUAUCUCAGUUUUUUCCUCUGCUUUUGCAAGAGACAAUCCACAGAAUCAGCUGUUUUUGCUGUGAUUUCUUUUGUACCCCAGUUUACUCUUAAGAACUGUAUAAAAUAAUAAUGACAUGUAUAUACCAUCCAGAAAGAGACCACAGAAUAACUACAGGCACAAACCUAUUGCUUCUGUCACUACUGACAUUGCCACAAUACUUUAGAAAUUGUGUGAGUGAAGGAUGACUCUUUGAUGUAACAGGCUGUUCCUUUUGUCUGCCCCCCGCCAACAGUGUCACUUGAUUUAGGAGAAACUCUACUGCAUCCCCUUUAUAAAAUUUCCUGAAAUUACCCUUGUGGUGUGCAGCAUAAAUUUGGGAUAAAUAAAUUGCACAAGA